GAGGGGUGUAAACAUCCACGAUGUGUUUCGCGAGAAAGGGGUAACUGUUCAUUUCGAGGCAGUUGUUCUGGAGGACUUAAGUAUAUUUAACACUAUUUUGGGAGGUGGGAUGAGGAAGAAUGAAAGAGGUCUUCCAACAGAGCGGUCGCAAUCAUGAACGGUGCCCUGUACAUUUCGUUUUUCCAAGGUCAGCUGGAGUCCGCGCUGGAGCAGGUAGUGCAGCUCGCCGUACAAGAAAUCACCAACACUGCUGGGGCCACUUUGAAUUCAAUGCUAUUGGAAACGGCCACCAAAGAGCAGGAAAAUCAGCGUUUGAGGGCUACCCUUCAGUCUCGGGGAGGGAACGGGAAAAGCAAUGCGUCUAAAGGAAAAACCGACACGAACGACGAAACAAAGCAACACACCCCCGGUCAGAUCCCGGAAUGUGGCGUUCAGUCCGAAACGCUCAGGCGUGAACAGAAAGCGCGGGCAGUUGGUCAGUUAAAAUCUGUUAUGGAGCACGUGCUGGAAUUUGCCGUUUAUGAGCUGACUAAAAUCGUGGAAGACAGCUUUGACGACCUGCUCUCGGAGUACACCAAGAAGGAGCGGGAAAACCAGAUAUUGAAACGGCAGUUACUGGACAAGAACAUAGUGGAGGACAGUGAUGCGGUUGCUGUGGAAACGGAGGACCGCAAAAAUGACUCUGCCUCUCCUAGCAGUUCCAGAGUAGAAAAGCAAGAGUGGAAAGGCCUGCAGGGCCACUCACCCAAAAAAGAAAAAACUGAAACCACAAACGAACCUGACAAGCAGACUGUCAUUGCAGUGGCUCAGAACUGGGUGCCCAUCCUGGACAAAGUCUUCGGGCAGAAGUGGUGCAGUGACCUCUGGCAGAUCAAAGAGGUCACCACCAGUAAAGAGGAGCGCACCGGGCUGAGCUCGGGCUCGGUGACCGACAUGAACAGCUUAAUUCGAGAGGCGCUCAUGCCGUCUUGCCUGGCCACUCAGAGGAAGCUGGAGCUGGAGGUGGGGCAGCCACCAUGGUUGCCACUAGACGGUAUGGAGGUUGUUUCUCUAACCUCUGAGACUAAAGGCGUUCCUGUCAUCAGCUCCACAGGCGAUGACUCUCAAAUCAGAUCCCCGUCAAUGUUGCAAAGACUCCUGACGCUCCCUUCCCAGCUGCUCGAGGAUGACGAUGAGUCCAUGGAUGCCGUUCCCAGUCUGGAAGUGUCCAAAGACCCAGCUGAUCCGCAAGACGGUAAGGGCUCAAAGAGUGACCAGAUGAAUAAGAAAAAGGACGAAGAGGAUGAAGACGAGGAGGACGACGAAGAUGAUGAUGAGAUGACGAACAGGACUGAGUCCUUGAAACACAAAGGUAGGAGAAAAUCCCAUGCUUGCAAAGAGUGCGGCAGGAAGUUCAGCCGAGCGCAUCUUCUCAGAGCCCACCGACAAACGCACGAGGAGACACCCAACCGAUGCCCACAAUGUGGAAAGAGUUUCUCCCAGUCUUCAAGGCUCCAGGCUCACUUACGGACACACACGGACAAAACGAUAUGAGAGCGCGAAGGUGGAAAAAAUUCAGAAUAGGAGGAGCGGUUUUCCAGUGAUUAUAGCUUCUCGAAUGACUUGAAAAGAGGAUCUGACUUCCUUAGCAUCCUCAACUAGAGUAGCGUCUUCCUGUACUGUUUGCGUGAGGUUUUUGCAUACAUCUUGAACUUGGAGAAAUGCUCAGUUGUGAGAUUUGGUUUUCCCAGCAUCGGUGGCAUGCAUCUGAAUAUGGAUCGUUAUCUACCAUUUCCAGAGAGGCAGACGGAUUCUGCACUUACAAUUUACUCCCUGUAUCGAAAAGAUAUAGGUCCCACCUGUUACGCACAUU